rnacentral:rRNA from 1 species
GAUGAACGCUGGCGGCGUGCCUAAUACAUGCAAGUCGAGCGAACAGACGAGGGGCUUGCUCCUCUGACGUUAGCGGCGGACGGGUGAGUAACACGUGGAUAACCUACCUAUAAGACUGGGAUAACUUCGGGAAACCGGAGCUAAUACCGGAUAAUAUAUUGAACCGCAUGGUUCAAUAGUGAAAGACGGUUUUGCUGUCACUUAUAGAUGGAUCCGCGUCGCAUUAGCUAGUUGGUAAGGUAACGGCUUACCAAGGCAACGAUGCGUAGCCGACCUGAGAGGGUGAUCGGCCACACUGGAACUGAGACACGGUCCAGACUCCUACGGGAGGCAGCAGUAGGGAAUCUUCCGCAAUGGGCGAAAGCUUGACGGAGCCACGCCGCGUGAGUGAUGAAGGUCUUCGGAUCGUAAAACUCUGUUAUUAGGGAAGAACAAAUGUGUAAGAAACUAUGCACGUCUUGACGGUACCUAAUCAGAAAGCCCCGGCUAACUACGUG